CCUACGGGGUGCAGCAGUGGGGAAUAUUGGACAAUGGGCGAAAGCCUGAUCCAGCCAUGCCGCGUGUGUGAAGAAGGCCUUCGGGUUGUAAAGCACUUUCAGUGGGGAAGAAAGCCUUGGGGCUAAUACCCUCGAGGAAGGACAUCACCCACAGAAGAAGCACCGGCUAACUCCGUGCCAGCAGCCGCGGUAAUACGGAGGGUGCGAGCGUUAAUCGGAAUUACUGGGCGUAAAGCGCGCGUAGGCGGUCUGAUAAGCCGGUUGUGAAAGCCCCGGGCUCAACCUGGGAACGGCAUCCGGAACUGUCAGGCUAGAGUGCAGGAGAGGAAGGUAGAAUUCCCGGUGUAGCGGUGAAAUGCGUAGAGAUCGGGAGGAAUACCAGUGGCGAAGGCGGCCUUCUGGACUGACACUGACGCUGAGGUGCGAAAGCGUGGGUAGCAAACAGGAUUAGAUACCCGUGUAGU
rnacentral:rRNA from 1 species